ACACUACUCCCUCCAUCCGAAAAAGCUUGUCCCAAGCUUGUUCCUCAAAUGGAUGUAUCUAGCUCUAACUUUAUGCUAGAUACAUCCAUCUGAGGGACAAGCUUUUUCGGACGGAGAGAGUACAUU
rfam:Triticum aestivum genome assembly, contig: Triticum_aestivum_CS42_TGACv1_scaffold_423182_5BS